rnacentral:lncRNA from 1 species
AAUAACAACAAUGUAAAUAAACAACCUCUAGGAUUUAGGGUCUCAACAACAAUAACAGCAACAUCAACAAAAAAACAUCAAUAACAACAACAAAAACAAAAAGAGAAACUCUAGAGUUUCGGAUCUCAACAACACCAAAACAACAACAACAACAACAACAAUAACAACAACAACAACAACAUCAACACCACCACCAACAACAACAAUAAUAUGACAACAAUAUUAAUAGUGAUGUUUGACCUACCAGAUCUUUGAAGAAGAAGUAAAAGAAAAUAAUUUGGAUCUCUGAAGAAG